CAAGGACCGCCACACCAAAGUCGAGGGCCGUGGUCGUAGGAUCCGAAUACCCGCCACAUGCGCCGCCCGGAUAUUCCAACUUACCAGAGAACUAGGCCACAAAUCAGACGGCGAAACCGUUAGAUGGCUUCUGGAGCACGCCGAACAAGCCAUUAUUCAAGCUACAGGCACUGGGACCGUCCCCUCCAUCGCCGUUUCCGUUGGUGGAACCCUCAAAAUCCCCGCAACCACCAACGAUACCAACAAUUCAUUAACCGAAACAACAAAGAAACGGAAACGGCCCUCAAAUUCUGAGUUCUGCGAUAUAAGCGAAGCAACUGUUUCCGUUUCACAGAGCUCUGGGCUUGCUCCGGUGACGCCGACGACUCCAUUUGCUGCGACUGCGACCCCUCAAGGAUUGGUGCCCAUGUGGGCUGUGGGUAGCGCAGGGAUGAUGGUACCCGCAAAUGCUUUUUGGAUGAUCCCGCAAGCCGCCACGCUGUCGGGUACUCCUGCAUUUGUGGCGGCAGCUGGCCUGGUUGGGCAGCCGACCCAGACGCAGCAGCCACAAAUAUGGGCAUUAUCACCGUCAAUAACGUCGGUAUUCAACGUGGCAGCAGCGAGGCCCAUAUCAACGUUUGUGGGGGCAACGAAUACUAUUAAUAAUCAGUCAUCUAUAGGGAGCGUGGUGAAUAUACCGAGUGGCGUGGAGGUUAGGGCAGCGUCAGCAGUGGUGAGUAGCACAUCGGUUGGGGCGAAGGAGGCGAAGAAGUCGACGAUGGCUCCAAGUGCUAGUUCUAGCGGUGGGAGCGUUAGCAGUGGAGGAAAAGCUCAACUGCUGAAGGACUUUUCUUUGGAGAUAUUCGAUAAGCAAGAGUUGCAGUUGAUGGGUCGUCCUGGUAAACAGCAACCCCUUCCCCAAGGUUCAAAAAUAUAAUUACAUGCAUAAAUAGAACAAUUUUUAAGUUUAGGCCUUUUUCUUUUUCUUUGUUGCUUGUGUUUUUAGUGUCGUAGAAUUUAAUUGUCCUUGCAGUAUUAUACACAUCUCACCAUGAAACUUCUUGUUUCUUGUUCAUGUGCUCGUGCUUUUACCAUUACUUUCCAUGGCAAGAAGCUAAUUGGCAUCUGCAGCUCCAACGAACUAGGUACAAAAUAGCCAUGAUUGACUUGACCGUAUAGCCUACUUUAUGUCAUAUAUCCUUUACUUCAUUAAUAUAGGGAAAAUUUUAUUGGGAGGUAUUUAUAAAUAAAAAUGCAUAUUAAUGUGGUUUUAGGGUAACAAAGUUGGUUUGAAUGCAUGCAUGCAUGCCAAUGUUAUAAUAUAUAGAGACAGGAUAAUUUUAUAUCCUUGUAUAAUUCUAAUUAUUCAUACAUGUAAAAUGCUAUUAUGGACGUUGGUAAUAUAUAUUGUAUCGGAGAAUUAGCCUUUUUAAUUAAGCUACAUCUACAACCGUAUAGGUAGUUCGGGAGUAGGUUAACUAAGCAAAAAAGUUUAGACUUGAACGCUACGCACGUGACCAAAGAUACCCACGUGUGGUCUUCGUUUCGUGGUGUGCUCCACCACCACCUACAGCUAUAACUGGUGGGUCAACAAGCAAAAACUGGUGAGAGGUUGGUCGAGAGAAUCACCCUCUCCAAUCUCCACACUCUUGAUAAGGAAAAAUUAUAUAAUAAAGCCCUUUGUUGAAUAAAAUCCUCCGUCGCUUUGGCCUUUCCUUGGAC
rnacentral:misc_RNA from 1 species